rnacentral:lncRNA from 1 species
UCUGCAACGGUCGGAAAUUCGUCGCCAUAGGAUCAACAUUUCGAGGUGUGAUUAAGUACAUUGUUUUGAAGAAUGGCGGGUACAAACAGGCAAGAUUUCGAUGAUAAAUUGAAAGCAGUUGCCAGAAGAACAAAGCAAGAUGCAGAAAUAGAUGAUCUCGGAAAGGCACUAAAAAUUCCUUCGUAUGAUAUUCAAAGUGCUCAGAAAAGGAACAGCCAAGAUCAUUCACAUAUGGGGUCGUUGGAGUUGCUGAGAGACUGGAUGAAAGGACAAGAUUCAUCAACAAUGAGACAGACCUUGAUUGAUGCCUUGGUAAAGAUAAAACGGAAUGACAUACUCGAAGAAUGUUUUCCGGAGGACGGUGCUGAUACUGUGACCGAACCUACCAAAAGAAACCCAGCAUCGCGUACCUCUGGACUACUAACGGGCGGGAUGCUGUCUUUGACGGACCUGAAAUUGAACGAGAUAGGGGAGGCUCUGGGAGUCAACGAGAAUAUCAUGACUCUUGGACUAUAUCUUGAUUUCCCAAGAUCCAAGGUGGAAAUGUUUCUUGCUACAAAUCGGGCUGAUGGCAAUGUGUCUUCCAAAGGCACCAAGAAUAUGCUAUUUGCAUGGAGGAACAGGACGCCCAGCGCAAAACAGGUGAAAGAGCUUCGUGAUGCCUUGGUGAAAGCCGAUUUGAGGCUCGUUGCCGACGAGCACCUUCGUAACAGUGCUACGAACCCGGCAGAACCUGUUAGAAGUGGCAGAGGAACAAGAAUCAACGAGAACGUUUCCCAGGAGCAACUGGACAAGAUCUCGAAGGACUUUCCAACUGCAAACUUCGUAUCCUUCAGCAAAAUAUUAGGCGUUGGGAUGCACCAAGCCAACGGCAUCCUGAUGAAACACUGCAAGGACUACCGGAGUGCCUUGAUGGAAAUCCUCAUGGCCUGGAAGAGCAGGACAUGUGGCCCUUGCUCAGAACUAGAAGCUGCUUUGAGUGCCUCAGAAGCAGGGGAUUUGAUAGCGGAUAUACUUUAUAAGUAAUUUUAAGGGUCUCAUUUUUCAUUAAAAGGUUAGGGCCGUCCUACAUUGAUACCAAUAUUGUCAAAAUGGAGAAAUAUACCAACCUAACAUGCCAAUUUUGUUGCAAAUGUUGCUGUUGUUGCCUAGAACCAAACACAAAAACGUUUGUAGCAAUUGUCGGGGCGGCGACCAUUAAUAACAAUAUUAUUUUAUAUGCAUUCACGAGCGGGAUAGACGUUCGCUUCGAUUCACGUUGUCACAAUUGUCUGUGAUUGGUAAAUCUUAUAUUUUGUCCCUGUACAACUACGUACAACUGGUGUCCUAAAUCAUUGAAUUUGUAUAUAAAUUGGUAUUGUCAUGUUUAUUUCUAUAGUUAUAGUUGCCCAUUUCUUUAAUGUAUACAAAGUGCUAAAACAUAAACUAUGUACAGGGACCCUUUAAACUAACAUGUAUUCUUUCAAUAAAAAAAUUCAAAACUUAAUAAUAAUAAUAAUAGUAAUGAUAAUAACACUCAGAUUGUAUAUAGCGUCAAUAACAACUAAGUCUUUAAGCGCUUUAAACUUGGAGAUUAUUACCCAGGCUUUAGCUGUGCUGCCAUUACAGUACCAAAGCAACUUCGCCAUGUCUUGUAUUUCCUCUGGUGCAUAUAAGAUUCUUUCUUUUACUCUUCAACAAUAGCUUGUCUGUGAUUGAUUCAUUUUUUACUUUGUCCCUGUCUAAUUACGUCUUAUAAUAUUGUAUUUCCUCUAAUUUUUAAAUUAUUAGAUAUAUUUAUUACUACAAACUCCUGGAAAUGGUUAUAUUUUCUUAUCAACGCUUAUUUUAUAUAUUUUUAAUUAAAACAAUUUAUU